UACGGUCAUAUCACAUGGAAACACCUGUUCAGGUACGAUCACAGAAGUUAAGCAACGUCGAAUCUGGUCAGUACUGAGAUGGGUGACUACUUUUGAAU